AUUAAAAAAAUAAUUUUAAAAGUUUUAUACAAUAUAAAAUAUUGGGUUUUGUGGAAAUUCUUUUAAACCAAAGCCCAAGACGACUACAUCUACAACUCCAUUCUGAGCUCAAGCCCAAUUUCGGAAGCAAUCAAUCACGUCUGGUCACUGGUGCUAUUGCUGAGUGAAGUCUGAGCAAGUAUCAACCCAACCCAAUUGGUCUGAAGAGUUUAGGCGAAACUGGGAAAUGGCGUUCAUGCGGGGUGAGCCAUUGGUGGCCAAGCUGGCUGCGGUGGCCAAGUACGUGGUUUUGCCAGGGACUAUGUUGGCGGCUCUGAUAUAUUCUCCUCCUCGAUAUGGUUCGUCCUCCAAGGAGGAUAAAUCCCCCAAAUAAGAUCCUAGUCGUCCAUCUUUUUCUCAUUUGGGGCAGCUUUGAUCGUGGACCUGCAUGCAAUUGCAGAUACGUGCAUUUUUUAUGUGCUUGGGCUUGUAAUAAUCCUCAACUCAAGAUCUAGCAGUUGGUUUUCAUGAGGAGGUAGUUUGAGAGUGAAAAUGUUUUAUCAUUUUGAUAUGUGCAACUUCUUAGCUGUAAAUCUUUCUUCUUGAAACUUGCUCAUUAUAAACAUUAUCUAGUUAAUCAAUGCUGUCCCAUUGAGCAUAUUGUGGAAUAAAAUUCUGAAUGAUUCAUAAUUCUGUGUA